UGGGGAAUAUUGGACAAUGGGCGAAAGCCUGAUCCAGCCAUGCCGCGUGUGUGAAGAAGGUCUUCGGAUUGUAAAGCACUUUAAGUUGGGAGGAAGGGCAUUAACCUAAUACGUUAGUGUUUUGACGUUACCGACAGAAUAAGCACCGGCUAACUCUGUGCCAGCAGCCGCGGUAAUACAGAGGGUGCAAGCGUUGAUCGGCAUUACUGGGCGUAAAGCGCGCGUAGGUGGUUUGUUAAGUUGGAUGUGAAAGCCCCGGGCUCAACCUGGGAACUGCAUUCAAAACUGACUGACUAGAGUAUGGUAGAGGGUGGUGGAAUUUCCUGUGUAGCGGUGAAAUGCGUAGAUAUAGGAAGGAACACCAGUGGCGAAGGCGACCACCUGGACUAAUACUGACACUGAGGUGCGAAAGCGUGGGGAGCAAACA
rnacentral:rRNA from 1 species